UACGUAGGGUGCAAGCGUUGUCCGGAAUUAUUGGGCGUAAAGAGCUUGUAGGCGGUUUGUCGCGUCUGCUGUGAAAUUUCGGGGCUCAACCCCGAACUUGCAGUGGGUACGGGCAGACUAGAGUGUGGUAGGGGAGACUGGAAUUCCUGGUGUAGCGGUGAAAUGCGCAGAUAUCAGGAGGAACACCGAUGGCGAAGGCAGGUCUCUGGGCCAUAACUGACGCUCAGGCACGAAAGCGUGGGGAGCAAACAGG
rnacentral:rRNA from 1 species